AGCGAACGCUGGCGGCAAGCUUAACACAUGCAAAUCGAACGAUGUAGCAAUACAUAGUGGCGGACGGGUGCAUAACACGUGGGAAUCUGCCUCUAGGUACGGAAUAACUCAGGGAAACUUGAGCUAAUACCGUAUAAAGUCUCCGGAUCAAAGAUUUAUCGCCUAAAGAUGAGCCCGCGUCAGAUUAGCUAGUUGGUGGGGUAACGGCCUACCAAGGCGACGAUCUGUAGCUGGUCUUAGAGGAUGAUCAGCCACACUGGGACUGAGACACGGCCCAGACUCCUACGGGAGGCAGCAGUGGGGAAUAUUGGACAAUGGGGGAAACCCUGAUCCAGCUAUGCCGCGUGAGUGAUGAAGGCCUUAGGGUUGUAAAGCUCUUUUAGAUGGGAAGAUAAUGACGGUACCAUCAGAAAAAGCCCCGGCUAACUUCGUGCCAGCCGCCGCGGUAA
rnacentral:rRNA from 1 species